ensembl:lncRNA
CCGGCGCGCGCCCUGUGGCUAAACCAAACACCUCCACCGGCAGGCAGCAGGACCCGGCGAGCGGGGUCAAAUGUGAUUCAAAGGCGGGGGGGAGGGAGUAGAAAGGGGGGGCUCUGCUAUGCUACGAAAAAAAAAAACUUACAGCUGAUUCACCCACUUCUAGCUGCAGACGAGAGGAGAAAGCCAUCCGACAGCAGCAACCAACUCUAUCAUCUCCACUAGAGGGAGGGCUAUCUCACAACAAGGCCACCAAGGAGCUGCAUCUGAGGGUCAGCAUGUGGUGAGUCAGUAGAAGCGAGCCAGCGAGCGCCUGAUCUCCGAGCGAGGCUUGUCAGCGUGGUCCUGAGUGGGCUGUGUGGAGCUUCUGUCAGAGAGUGUCACAUUUCCACGGCCCACACUGUGGCUCCUCUGUCCUCCUCAUGGCUGCAGCUCAAUGGGUCCUUUGAUGGGCCAACCCG